UACGUAGGGGGCAAGCGUUGUCCGGAAUCAUUGGGCGUAAAGCGCGCGUAGGCGGCCCUGUAAGUCCGUUGUGAAAGUCAAAGGCUCAACCUUUGAAAGCCGAUGGAUACUGCAGGGCUAGAGUCCGGAAGAGGCGAGUGGAAUUCCUGGUGUAGCGGUGGAAUGCGCAGAUAUCAGGAGGAACACCAAUAGCGAAGGCAGCUCGCUGGGACGGUACUGACGCUAAGGCGCGAAAGCAUGGGUAGCAAACAGG
rnacentral:rRNA from 1 species